UAGGGAAUCUUCCACAAUGGGCGAAAGCCUGAUGGAGCAACGCCGCGUGUGUGAUGAAGGGUUUCGGCUCGUAAAACACUGUUGUAAGAGAAGAACAUAUCUGAGAGUAACUGUUCAGGUAUUGACGGUAUUUAACCAGAAAGCCACGGCUAACUGCGUGCCCG
rnacentral:rRNA from 1 species